AGAGCCCCGGCGAUCAGCACCGCGAUGCCGGCCUUCAGGAGGCGGCCGGUGGCUGCAGGUUUCACGGCAACGGCGGAGUAGGCCUACGGAGGAGGAUGGACGCACACAGAGGGCAGGUCGUGUUACAAGCUGCUGACACUGCACACGACCCCUUAGAGACUUUUGUAAAAUCAAAAUCAAAUAAAAAGACGUGAACCCAUUUAUCAGAUGGUGGAUCCAAAACUUUGAUGAUACAUUUAUAGGGACACAUGGCCUCCUGGGUGAAGAAGAAGAGAAACGGCUUCACUAAGACACUCAAAGAGUUGAAAUCUGCAUGUGCUGCAACAUCCCACAAACCAUGUCAAUCUGGUUAAAUAUCUGUACUUUAAAGUAGUCCAGUGCCAAAGUAUCACCUGUCAGGGACAUUAACCAUUGGUGUCAACAUAUCCUCAUUUGCUUAGAAUUUAGCAGCGUGUGAGUUUUAUUUUCCCUCCUUACUGUAUAUUUUCACUGAUCUAGGCUAGCACACUUACAAUACACAAUACAAAAAAAAUGUCAUUACUCGGUCUUCUUUAUCCUGAUCAGAGACAAUAAAUGCUCGUGAUGAGUUCAAAGAUUUUCAU